rnacentral:lncRNA from 1 species
UUGUUGGGGAGUUGUUUUUAUUUUUUUAAGUGUAAUUCUCAAAAUUUAAUGUAGUGACCUACUUGUGCCAAAAAGAUAUCAAGCUUAGCUGUCAAGGUUUGUGCACAUAAUAAGAGAUACAUUUUAAUAAUAAAUAUUUAGAUAGAAACUUUGAAGAGAGGGCAGAGAAAGUGCUGUGAGGUAUCAAUAUUAUAAUUUCCUUAUCCUAUAAAUAGGCUAAACUAUGGAAAGUCUUUAUGGAAGCUUUAAAAUAUUUACUGGUCUUAGAAUAGGAGUUAGUAUUUAAAUACACAAAAGACUGAAGAGAAUACUUUGGAUGGAAAAAUCAGGGAAAAUAAUUAGCCAAAGUACCUAUAUUUAGGGCUCAAAUCAGUCCUUAAAUAGAAUUUUGAAAAAAAAUCACUUCACUGACUCCCAAGUACAGUUUCAUGAAUCUUCUCCAGGCUUGUAGGAAUUAAAACUGUAAUCUAAAGGAAGAACAUUGAACAAUUUGGAUGUUCACAAAUUGUCAUGUUUGAAAUAAAUGGAAUUAACUGACUCAUUCAGAUAAUGAAUAAACCUAAUUACCAACCCAACCAAAACAGACUCUGUAAGGUUAGCAGCUAAUUUGCAUAUUGAAUGACAUUUAAGUAACAUCAGUAUUAAUGAAUACUGUGAAUAUGUUAUGUAUUUUUUCAUCCUAAAUCAACAUUUUAAAAAAAUUUAAGGGGAAUAAAAGUGACACAGAGAGAAAGAGAGAGUAAAAGAGAAAGCAGAAGACCAAGGCCUUUGAGCAAAAACAAACUGUUGCCUUGUCUUCAAA